rnacentral:rRNA from 1 species
UACGAGGGGGGCAAAUGUUGUUCGGAAUCACUGGGCGUAAAGGGAGCGUAGGCGGGUUUUUAAGUCAGGUGUUUAAUCCCGGGGCCCAACCCCGGACAGGCACUUGAAACUGGGAAUCUUGAAUAGUGGAGAGGUCAGUGGAAUUGGGGGUGUAGCGGUGGAAUGCGUAGAGAUCCCCAAGAACACCCGUUGCGAAGGCGGCUGACUGGACACAUAUUGACGCUGAGGCUCGAAAAGCAUGGGGGAGCAAACAG